UACGGGGGGGGCAAGCGUUGUUCGGAAUUACUGGGCGUAAAGGGCGCGUAGGCGGCCUACUAAGUCGGACGUGAAAUCCCUCGGCUCAACCGAGGAACUGCGUCCGAUACUGGUGGGCUUGAAUCCGGGAGAGGGAUGUGGAAUUCCAGGUGUAGCGGUGAAAUGCGUAGAUAUCUGGAGGAACACCGGUGGCGAAGGCGGCAUCCUGGACCGGUAUUGACGCUGAUGCGCGAAAGCUAGGGGAGCAAACGGG
rnacentral:rRNA from 1 species